rnacentral:rRNA from 1 species
UACGUAGGGACCAAGCGUUGUUCGGAUUUACUGGGCGUAAAGGGCUCGUAGGCGGCCAACUAAGUCCGACGUGAAAUCCCCAGGCUUAACCUGGGAAUUGCAGUCGAUACUACUCAGCUAGAGUAAUGGGAGAGGGCAGUGGAAUUCCCGGUGUAGCGGUGAAAUGCGUAGAUAUCGGGAGGAACAUCAGUGGCGAAGGCGGCUGCCUGGCCCAAUACUGACACUCAGGUGCGACAGCGUGGG